rnacentral:lncRNA from 10 species
AAAAUGUUUUAAUGUAUAUGUGUUAUGGGUCAUAGGUACUCAUUAGUAUGCUUCAUAAUUUAUUCACGUUAGAUAUACUCUUUAUAGAUAUCAAAUAUUACAUAUUAUAAUUUCUUAAAAUCUGCUGUGGUGGAAAUAAAUGAACACAUGAAGUCUCCCUGAAAGAAAAUCAGUGUUUCUUGGGAAGAACCAAGAUUCCCUGACAGAAGCUACCCUAUGUAGAGGACAAAGUAGGUCUUCAAUAAAUAUUAGUUGGUUUUCUGUGAUUUAAAACCAAAAGAUCCCUAACCUAUAUAUUCAUCAUACUUAGCCCAUUCCUACCUUCCCACAGGAUAGCACAGGGAAUACAGGUAAGGUC